rnacentral:tRNA from 1 species
GCGGGGGUGCCCGAGCCUGGCCAAAGGGGACGGGCCCAGAACCCGUUGGCGUAGGCCUGCGUGGGUUCAAACCCCACCCCCCGCACCA